GAACGCACCUUGCGCCCUUUGGUAUUCCGAAGGGCGUGCCUGUUUGAGUGUCAUUAAAUUCUCAAACCUUGAUCAGUUUUGCACUGAUUCAAGGCUUUGGAUGUGGGAGUCUUUGCUGGUACUCUUUUGGAUCAGCUCUCCUCAAAUGCAUUAGCGGGUUACUUGAUCCCCUUUCCUUGGUGUGAUAAUUAUCUACGCCUUCGAAAUGAUCAGCAAUUGUACCAGCUUCUAACCGUCCAUUGACUUGGACAACUUUAUUUGACCAUUUGACCUCAAAUCAGGUAGGACUACCCGCUGAACUUAA
rnacentral:misc_RNA from 1 species